UACAGAGGGGGCAAGCGUUGUUCGGAAUUACUGGGCGUAAAGGGCGCGUAGGCGGCCUUCUAAGUCAGACGUGAAAUCCCUCGGCUCAACCGGGGAACUGCGUCUGAGACUGAAAGGCUUGAAUCCGGGAGAGGAAUGCGGAAUUCCAGGUGUAGCGGUGAAAUGCGUAGAUAUCUGGAGGAACACCGGUGGCGAAGGCGGCAUUCUGGACCGGCAUUGACGCUGAGGUGCGAAAGCGUGGGGAGCAAACAGG
rnacentral:rRNA from 1 species